rnacentral:tRNA from 1 species
AGGGGUUUAGGUUAAACAAGACCAAGAGCCUUCAAAGCUCUAAGUAAGUAAAUUCUCUUAACCCCUG